rnacentral:rRNA from 1 species
GACGAACGCUGGCGGCGUGCUUAACACAUGCAAGUCGAACGGAAAGGCCCUGCUUUUGUGGGGUGCUCGAGUGGCGAACGGGUGAGUAACACGUGAGUAACCUGCCCUUGACUUUGUGAUAACUUCAGGAAACUGGGGCUAAUACCGGAUAGGAGCUCCUGCUGCAUGGUGGGGGUUGGAAAGUUUCGGCGGUUGGGGAUGGACUCGCGGCUUAUCAGCUGGUUGGUGGGGUAGUGGCUUACCAAGGCUUUGACGGGUAGCCGGCCUGAGAGGGUGACCGGCCACAUUGGGACUGAGAUACGGCCCAGACUCCUACGGGAGGCAGCAGUGGGGAAUAUUGCACAAUGGGCGGAAGCCUGAUGCAGCAACGCCGCGUGCGGGAUGACGGCCUUCGGGUUGUAAACCGCUUUCGCCUGUGACGAAGCGUGAGUGACGGUAAUGGGUAAAGAAGCACCGGCUAACUACGUG